CCUACGGGAGGCAGCAGUGGGGAAUAUUGGACAAUGGGCGCAAGCCUGAUCCAGCCAUACCGCGUGGGUGAAGAAGGCCUUCGGGUUGUAAAGCCCUUUUGUUGGGAAAGAAAAGCAGCCGGCUAAUACCCGGUUGUUCUGACGGUACCCAAAGAAUAAGCACCGGCUAACUUCGUGCCAGCAGCCGCGGUAAU
rnacentral:rRNA from 3 species